GAGCGCAGUAAUAAUGACAAGUGAGGUAUGUUGCAAAAAUGAUGCGUUAUGACUGGCUGGUGGGAGCUGCGACUGUGAUGAGCGCGAUGAUGGGAUGCGAUUUGUGGAUAUUGGGUCGAGAAUGAAGCAGAAAAGUACAGAAGCUGAGUUGUUUAGAUGUGGAGUCUUGGUGGAAGAAGAGAUGGUGUACGUACUGUAGUCCUGAGAUUAGAGACAAAGAUACUGAUAAAUGGACGAUGCAUAUAAGGUUUCAGCGAAUUAAAAAUGGGAUGCAGACAGAAUUCGGACAUUUUAUCGAUCGAUGAUUGGUAAGUUUGGCCUUUUUUCUCCAUUGUAAUUAAUAGGAUAGAUGAUAUUUUCAUUUUAAUCAUAUAUUUGGG